AACCGGAAGGCGUCUUGAGACUUAACGCUGUUGUCCUGCCCCGGCUUGAGUUAUGGUUUGGCGUGAGCCCCCCAGAAGGAGCCGCUUCUCCUCCUGUGUUUAAAUGAAGCGGCGAACGGGGAGGCGGCGGCUCAUAGUCGGAGGUGCGAAAGGAGAUGUUUGAAAAGAUGUUUGGAUCCGGUUUUCUUGUCCGGACCACACACACCGUUCUGACGUGGGUCAUAACUCUCAUACUGUUUCUGCACAACACUGAUUUGCGGAGAUGCGAGGAGAAGGGAGAGUUAACGCAGCCCAUUUUGUUCUCCCUUCUGGUGCUGCUGUCGGUCAUGCUGUACUUCAGUGUGUCACUAAUGGACCCGGGCUUUGUCCUCACAGAUGCCGUCAAGUGCCCCACGGGCUCGGCCGAGGAGUCGGAGGUGAUGAUUCUUCAGUUGCCUGUGCCGCGGUUGCGUCGCUGUGGCUUCUGUUUACUGCAGCAGCCAAUGAGAGCCAAGCAUUGUCGAAUGUGUAAGCACUGCGUGCGUCGGUUUGACCAUCACUGUCCCUGGAUAGAGAACUGUGUUGGGGAGAGGAACCAUCGCUGGUUCAUUGUCUACCUCGCCGUGCAGCUGGUGGCGCUGCUAUGGGCCCUUCAGAUAGCGCUGUCGGGCCUGACACCCAGUGGCUCGUGGGAGCGCUGGUUCCAGCUGAACUGGUUCCUGCUGGCAGUGCUUGGCGUGGUGGGUGUGUUCUCCAUCGUGGUGGUCCUGCUGCUGGGCUGUCACCUCUACUUGGCCGCCAUCAACUGCACCACCUGGGAGUUCAUGUCUCGCCACCGUAUCUCCUACCUGAGAAACUGCGUGGAAGAGGAGAACCCAUUUGACCGUGGCAUGGCCUGCAACCUCUGGGACUUUUUCUGCAUCUGCCGCAGUGUGGUUUGGGAGCACGUCUACCACAGAGGCAACCGCAAUCCCGUCUGAUCGGUAUACCGACGGCAGAGCACCGUCUUCAUUGGACUUGCGAGGCAUAUUAUUGAUUAUAUCCACUGGAGGGCGACAUGGGUUGUCUACUGUGAAUUGAGUCUCUUCCACCAUCGUGUUGCAGUUUGGAGACACCAACUAACCAACUGCAACCGCUUUGGCAAGACUGUAAAGGUCAGGGCUGCAGCAGUGUCUGCUUUUAUUCUGUAAUUACAGAGGAACUGAGUUGACGGAGUGGAGUGAAAUACAUAAUUACUGCUGUAAUACCAUGUAGGAUUCACAGUGACAAACUGAAUCUUCAUACAAACUUGACUUCUUUUCACUCCUGUCACUAGUCCAUGGAGCCAGAAGCCCACACAGGACCUUUUUAUUUACUUAAAGUGCCUGGUGGAUUCCGAAGCUUACCAGCCAUCUUUAUUGUUUAACCAGUUACAGGGAUGCAAACUUGUCACCUUUCAAUGAAAAUAGCCGUUUUGAAUCCAAAAUAGGAAAUUUGUGCGAUUCGUGUAGACCCAAUGAGGUUUUGAGAUUGGGGUCUGCAUGGACAGAGUCACGGGGAAUGAAAUGAGUACCACCCCUUCUGAGUUGGCAAAAAAAAAGAAACGCUACUGCCUUCUGUACUUGGCAUGUGCAAUGCACUUGAGAAGAGUUAAGAAUGAAGAGGGCCAACUCUGGGAGGCAGUUUUCACUGCCCGCAUGCCUUAAGUGGCCAGUUGCUCCCUAUUCUAGUUCAAACACCCACCCUCGUACUGUAUGCGUUCGCCAACUGCAUCUCUCCGGCCGGCAGUCUCGAAGGAGACGCCUCGCCACUUCCGUGACAACUGCAUCUCCCAGAGGCAGGGGACUCUUCUGCAAGAGGGAAGAAGGCACAAUGAGUGUGACUGCCACCAUUCAGGCGACGCUCAGGGGAGCAGGAGGGCCACAGCCGAGGAGGAAAAAAGUGGCCAAUUGCUCCCUAUUCUAGUUCAAACACCCACCCUAUAGUCGGAUCUGACGAGACCGAGGCGCGAACCCCGGUCCCCAGUGGGCUAAGUAAGCCCUGUGUUUUAAUUGACCAAACAGCAGACCGCGAGCUCUGCUGAAACAUCCAGUCUGCAGGAACCACCGACAAGGUCCAGAGGCAGAGGACUCUUCUGCAAGAGGGAAGGAGGCACAAUGAGUGUGACUGCCACCGUUCAGGCGAUGCUCAGGGGAGCAGGAGGGCCACAGCCGAGGAGGAAAAAAGGGUCCAGGCUCGAGCACGCUGCAAAACUUGAGUUGUUGCCUCCCGACUAGAUCCUUGCUUGUGUUGUAUUAACGCUUAGAUGUGCGUCGCUUUGGAUAAAAGCGUCUGCUAAAUGAAAUUGUAACAAAAGUAAGAAAGCGGGCACUUGAGACUCUAGUACAAGCCAAAAAGAAGAAAUAAGCUCUCUCUCUCAAAAAAAACAAGAAAUAAGGACAGUCUCUCUCACAAAAUAUAACAUAAGCUGUGUUUUCCAUUUGACUUGUCAGUUGUUGUGCAUAUUGUGUUUUUGUUUGUUGUUUGAUAAACUUAAUCGUAUAGUUGA